GACGGAGGAUGCAAGUGUUAUCCGGAAUCACUGGGCGUAAAGCGUCUGUAGGUGGUUUAAUAAGUCAACUGUUAAAUCUUGAGGCUCAACCUCAAAAUCGCAGUCGAAACUAUUAGGCUAGAGUAUAGUAGGGGUAAAGGGAAUUUCCAGUGGAGCGGUGAAAUGCGUAGAUAUUGGAAAGACCACCGAUGGCGAAGGCACUCUACUGGGCCAUUACUGACACUGAGAGACGAGAGCUAGGGGAGCAAAUGGG
rnacentral:rRNA from 1 species